rnacentral:rRNA from 1 species
UACGGGGGGGGCAAGCGUUGUUCGGAAUUACUGGGCGUAAAGGGCUCGUAGGCGGCCAACUAAGUCAGACGUGAAAUCCCUCGGCUUAACCGGGGAACUGCGUCUGAUACUGGAUGGCUUGAGGUUGGGAGAGGGAUGCGGAAUUCCAGGUGUAGCGGUGGAAUGCGCAGAUAUCAGGAGGAACACCGGUGGCGAAGGCGGGUCUCUGGGCAGUAACUGACGCUGAGGAGCGAAAGCGUGGGGAGCAAACAGG